CGCGGUAAGACGUAGGACACAAGCGUUAUCCGGAUUUACUGGGCGUAAAGCGUCUGCAGGCGGACAGGUAAGUUGGGCGUGAAAGCUCCGGGCCCAACCCGGAGAGGUCGUUCAAUACUGCGUGUCUAGAGGGUGUCAGAGGGGAGUGGAAUUUCCGGAGUAGCGGUAAAAUGCGCAGAGAUCGGAAAGAACACCAAUGGCGAAGGCAGCUCCCUGGGGCAACCCUGACGCUAAGAGACGAAAGCUAGGGGAGCGAACAGGAUUAGAGACCCUGGUAGUCCUAGCCCUAAACGAUGGAUGCUGGAUGUGGGGCCAUAGCGCUCCGUGUCGAAGCGAACGCGUUAAGCAUCCCGCCUGGGGACUACGGCCGCAAGGUUAAAACUCAAACGAAUUGACGGGACCCCGCACAAGCAGCGGAGCGUGUGGUUUAAUUCGAUGCUACACGGAGAACCUUACCUGGGUUUGACAUCUAGGUGGUAGUGAAGCGAAAGCGGAGCGACCCUUCGGGGAGCCUAGACAGGUGCUGCAUGGCUGUCGUCAGCUCGUGCCGUGAGGUGUCGGGUUAAGUCCCGUAACGAGCGCAACCCUUGCCCUCCGUUAUACGUGUCAGAGGGGACUGCCGGCGGUAAGCCGGAGGAAGGUGGGGAUGACGUCAAGUCAGCAUGGCCUUUAUAUCCAGGGCUACACACACGCUACAAUGGCCAGUACAAAGGGCAGCGAAGCCGCGAGGUGGAGCGAAUCCCAGCAAAGCUGGUCGUAGUUCGGAUUGCAGGCUGCAACCCGCCUGCAUGAAGCUGGAGUUGCUAGUAACCGCGCGUCAGCCAUAGUGCGGUGAAUACGUU
rnacentral:rRNA from 1 species